UCUAAUGUAUUUAAAGAGUAUAGCCGUGCGGCUAUAUGAUUAAAAUAUUGGACUAUAUUCAAAGAGUAUAGUCGCGCGGCUAUACUCUUUAAAUAUUCAAAU
rnacentral:miRNA from 1 species